rnacentral:ncRNA from 1 species
GGAUAAUCCCAGGUGACUGGGGAAAGGUUAAGCCAGGCUGGUUGGCUUAGCCCCUCUAAAGUGGGGCCGAAAGGUUCAAUGGCGGAGGCAAGAUUCACCAGUUCCUCUGACCGCGUUCGCGCGCGGUCAGUAACGCGAAAAAGGAACUGAGCGAUGAGGGGCGAUUAGAAACCGCUCCGAAUUGAGUCAAGUAGCCCGGGCGAGUUUCGAUCCUGGGCAAAUCGCAGUUACCAGAGGGUACUCGGUUGCUACUGUGCAUCAGCACGGUCGGGCGACUCUGGCGGUCUCCGCGAGGGGGUCAGCCAAAGGAAAGACGCCGAAAGGCGGGACAAAGUGAGCGCACGCACCGGGGAGGACACGUGGUCUCGGCAGGACCCGUGAAAACCUUCCGAAACGUCGGCGAUGUUAAAAACGAUACCGCUGACCUGUCGAUGAAAGGCAACCUGAGAGUGAAGAGGCGAGACCCGUGGCACCGGGCGAACGCGCAGCCAAAAGCUGCGGCUGACCCGGCGCUAAGUGGUGAAGACGCGGAGACUGAGUCACAGACGUGUCUUUACCUGGUUCACAGGCCGGUGGCGCAACCACCAGCCGAAGCGAGCUGAAAAGCCUCACUCAAUAAUCCAGUUGCCGUAAGGCGCUGGACGGCCCUGCUACGAGGCCGGAGACUCCGCUUGCCGUGGAGAAUAGCGUCGGGAAGCUGACAGCCCUGCCUUGCGGGGCGCCCAAUGCCAGCACGGGAAAGAGAGUGUGGCGAACUCC